rnacentral:rRNA from 1 species
ACGCCAGUUUUGGCGGAGCCAUCCUUGGGAUACCACCCUUGUAGUACUGGGACUCUAACCAUAGGCCAUGAAUCUGGUCUUGGGACACUGUCAGGUGGGCAGCUUGACUGGGGCGGUCGCCUCCCAACAGGUAACGGAGGCGCUCAAAGGUUCUCUCAGUACGGUCGGAAAUCGUACGUAGAGUGUAAAGGCAAAAGAGAGCUUGAUUGCAAGACAUACAGGUCGAGCAA